UUGGCAUUGGCGUUGUUGGCGUUGGCACGAGCAAGAGGGGUCUGGGCCACUAGGGGCGCUCGUGGCCCUCACUCACCCGGAAUAUUCCCUCCUCCAUCGCAGCCUCCACCAUGGCUCUCUCCAGCUCCUCCUCUGCGGUCAGGUCUCCUGAGAUGCUGACCAAAGUUCAUAUCACCAGCAGAACAAAUCAAAUUUGGUGCCAUUGCAUAAUUUGCAACGAGGACACAGCACCACUUUUGUGAGAUUCUUAUCCAAGAUGUGUAUUUUCUGUGUGGCACAAGGGAACACUGGACAAACCCAGCCUCAGGGCAUCCUGUCCCAUAAACUUUGAAAGUGUCAAGGUCAUGUGAAAGGAAGACCAAAGAACUGUUCCAAAUAGAAGAGACUAAGAAGACACCGCAACUAAAUGCAAUGUGAGAUUCUGCAUUGGAACCUCUUGACAAAGAGGACAUUUGGGGAACCAGGGAAACUUGAAUGAGCUCGGAGGAUCAGAUGGUAACAUAUCAAAGUUAAUUUCCUGAUCCUGAUGGUUCUGUGGUGGUUAUGUAGGAGAAUUAUACAGGAGAAUAUCCUUGUUUGAAGGAAAUACACAUUCAAGUGUUUUGGGUUGAUGGAACAUCUCUCAAACAGUUCAGAAAAGAAGGUUUUCGGUAUCAUACUUGAAAUUUUUAAACUAUUUCAAAAUAAAAAUAGCAAGUGACAUAAAUCA